UCCCUGGUAACCCAGUGGCUAAGACUCUGCGCUCCCAGUGCAGGGGGCCCAGGUUCAAUCCCUGGUCAGGGAA
rnacentral:tRNA from 1 species